UUUCAGUGAACAAGUCUACUACGUUUGUUGACACUCGACGGUCCACCGUGUUAGCAAUUUUAUUCCAUGUUUUCGAAAUAUUGAAGAUCAUUUUUCGCAAUGUUUCCUGAAAAUUGAUAAAUGUCAAAGCAACGUAGAGCUGUUUGUUCUUGUUCGUAUAAUAAAAUUGAGAAUGGAGAAUGGAAAUGGGGAAUGUGUCAAAGAGACAACAACCCGACCAUAGAAAAACAUACAACAGCAGAAGGUCACCAACAGGUCUUCAAUGCAGCGAAAAAUUCCCGCACCCG
rnacentral:lncRNA from 1 species